rnacentral:rRNA from 1 species
GACGAACGCUGGCGGCGUGCUUAACACAUGCAAGUCGAACGGAAAGGCCCUGCUUUUGUGGGGUGCUCGAGUGGCGAACGGGUGAGUAACACGUGAGUAACCUGCCCUUGACUUUGGGAUAACUUCAGGAAACUGGGGCUAAUACCGGAUAGGAGCUCCUGCUGCAUGGUGGGGGUUGGAAAGUUUCGGCGGUUGGGGAUGGACUCGCGGCUUAUCAGCUUGUUGGUGGGGUAGUGGCUUACCAAGGCUUUGACGGGUAGCCGGCCUGAGAGGGUGACCGGCCACAUUGGGACUGAGAGACGGCCCAGACUCCUACGGGAGGCAGCAGUGGGGAAUAUUGCACAAUGGGCGGAAGCCUGAGGCAGCAACGCCGCGUGCGGGAGGACGGCCUUCGGGUUGUAAACCGCUUUCGCCUGUGACGAAGCGUGAGUGACGGGAAUGGGUAAAGAAGCACCGGCUAACUACGU